UACGGGGGGAGCAAGCGUUGUUCGGAUUUACUGGGCGUAAAGGGCGCGUAGGCGGUCAGCACAAGUCAGUUGUGAAAUCUCCGGGCUUAACUCGGAAAGGUCAACUGAUACUGUGCGACUAGAGUGCAGAAGGGGCAACUGGAAUUCUCGGUGUAGCGGUGAAAUGCGUAGAUAUCGGGAGGAACACCUGUGGCGAAGGCGGCCCCCUGGUCGGAUACUGACGCUGAGACGCGAAAGCGUGGGGAGCAAACAGG
rnacentral:rRNA from 1 species